AAUAUGUGAUUCCAGGGAAUUCCCUGGCUGUCCAGUGGUUAGGACUCUGCGCUUCCACUGCAGGCGACACAGGUCUGAUCCCGGGUCGGGGAACUAUCCCGCCAGCCACGUGGCACAGCCAAACAGAGAAACAAAAAA